rnacentral:rRNA from 1 species
UAGGGAAUCUUCGGCAAUGGACGAAAGUCUGACCGAGCAACGCCGCGUGAGUGAAGAAGGUUUUCGGAUCGUAAAACUCUGUUGUUAGAGAAGAACAAGGACGUUAGUAAUUGGACGUCCCCUGACGGUAUCUAACCAGAAAGCCACGGCUAACUACGUGCCAGCAGCCGCGGUAAUACGUAGGUGGCAAGCGUUGUCCGGAUUUAUUGGGCGUAAAGCGAGCGCAGGCGGUUUCUUAAGUCUGAUGUGAAAGCCCCCGGCUCAACCGGGGAGGGUCAUUGGAAACUGGGAGACUUGAGUGCAGAAAAGGAGACUGGAAUUCCAUGUGUAGCGGUGAAAUGCGUAACUAUAUGGGGGAACACCAGUGGCGAAGGCGUCUCUCUGGUCUAUAACUGACACUGAGGCUCGAAAGCGUGGGGGGCAAACAGG